rnacentral:rRNA from 1 species
GACGAACGCUGGCGGCGUGCCUAAUACAUGCAAGUAGAACGCUGAAGAGAGGAGCUUGCUCUUCUUGGAUGAGUUGCGAACGGGUGAGUAACGCGUAGGUAACCUGCCUUGUAGCGGGGGAUAACUAUUGGAAACGAUAGCUAAUACCGCAUAACAAUGGAUGACACAUGUCAUUUAUUUGAAAGGGGCAAUUGCUCCACUACAAGAUGGACCUGCGUUGUAUUAGCUAGUGGGUGAGGUAACGGCUCACCUAGGCGACGAUACAUAGCCGACCUGAGAGGGUGAUCGGCCACACUGGGACUGAGACACGGCCCAGACUCCUACGGGAGGCAGCAGUAGGGAAUCUUCGGCAAUGGGGGCAACCCUGACCGAGCAACGCCGCGUGAGUGAAGAAGGUUUUCGGAUCGUAAAGCUCUGUUGUAAGUCAAGAACGAGUGUGAGAGUGGAAAGUUCACACUGUGACGGUAGCUUACCAGAAAGGGACGGCUAACUACGUGCCAGCAGCCGCGGUAAUACGUAGGUCCCGAGCGUUGUCCGGAUUUAUUGGGCGUAAAGCGAGCGCAGGCGGUUUGAUAAGUCUGAAGUUAAAGGCUGUGGCUCAACCAUAGUUUGCUUUGGAAACUGUCAAACUUGAGUGCAGAAGGGGAGAGUGGAAUUCCAUGUGUAGCGGUGAAAUGCGUAGAUAUAUGGAGGAACACCGGUGGCGAAAGCGGCUCUCUGGUCUGUAACUGACGCUGAGGCUCGAAAGCGUGGGGAGCGAACAGGAUUAGAUACCCUGGUAGUCCACGCCGUAAACGAUGAGUGCUAGGUGUUGGAUCCUUUCCGGGAUUCAGUGCCGCAGCUAACGCAUUAAGCACUCCGCCUGGGGAGUACGACCGCAAGGUUGAAACUCAAAGGAAUUGACGGGGGCCCGCACAAGCGGUGGAGCAUGUGGUUUAAUUCGAAGCAACGCGAAGAACCUUACCAGGUCUUGACAUCCCGAUGCUAUUUCUAGAGAUAGAAAGUUACUUCGGUACAUCGGUGACAGGUGGUGCAUGGUUGUCGUCAGCUCGUGUCGUGAGAUGUUGGGUUAAGUCCCGCAACGAGCGCAACCCCUAUUGUUAGUUGCCAUCAUUCAGUUGGGCACUCUAGCGAGACUGCCGGUAAUAAACCGGAGGAAGGUGGGGAUGACGUCAAAUCAUCAUGCCCCUUAUGACCUGGGCUACACACGUGCUACAAUGGUUGGUACAACGAGUUGCAAGUCGGUGACGGCAAGCUAAUCUCUUAAAGCCAAUCUCAGUUCGGAUUGUAGGCUGCAACUCGCCUACAUGAAGUCGGAAUCGCUAGUAAUCGCGGAUCAGCACGCCGCGGUGAAUACGUUCCCGGGCCU